GAACGCUAGCGGCAGGCUUAACACAUGCAAGUCGAGGGGCAGCGGGGAGGAAGCUUGCUUUCCCCGCCGGCGACCGGCGCACGGGUGAGUAACACGUAUGCAACCUGCCCCUGUCAGGGGGACAACCCGCCUAAAGGCGGGCUAAACCCGCGUACAUGCCACCGGGGCAUCCCGGAGGCAGGAAAGGCUUCGGCCGGACAGGGAUGGGCAUGCGGCGCAUUAGGCAGUAGGCGGGGUAACGGCCCACCUAACCGACGAUGCGUAGGGGUUCUGAGAGGAAGGUCCCCCACACUGGUACUGAGACACGGACCAGACUCCUACGGGAGGCAGCAGUGAGGAAUAUUGGUCAAUGGUCGGGAGACUGAACCAGCCAAGCCGCGUGAGGGAGGAAGGUACAGAGUAUCGUAAACCUCUUUUGUCAGGGAACAAAGACUGGGACGCGUCCCCGGAUGAGUGUACCUGAAGAAAAAGCAUCGGCUAACUCCGUGCCAGCAGCCGCGGUAAUACGGAGGAUGCGAGCGUUAUCCGGAUUUAUUGGGUUUAAAGGGUGCGCAGGCGGUCUGUUAAGUCAGCGGUCAAAGCCCGGGGCUCAACCCCGGCCCGCCGUUGAAACUGGCAGUCUCGAGUUGGAGAGAAGUAUGCGGAAUGCGCGGUGUAGCGGUGAAAUGCAUAGAUAUCGCGCAGAACUCCGAUUGCGAAGGCAGCAUGCCGGCUCCACACUGACGCUGAGGCACGAAAGCGUGGGUAUCGAACAGGAUUAGAUACCCUGGUAGUCCACGCAGUAAACGAUGAAUGCUGGCUGUCCGGGGGGACUGACCCCUGGGUGGCGAAGCGAAAGCGAUAAGCAUUCCACCUGGGGAGUACGCCGGCAACGGUGAAACUCAAAGGAAUUGACGGGGGCCCGCACAAGCGGAGGAACAUGUGGUUUAAUUCGAUGAUACGCGAGGAACCUUACCCGGGCUCAAACGGGGAGUGGCGCAGGCAGAGACGCCUGUUUCCCACGGGACACUCCCCGAGGUGCUGCAUGGUUGUCGUCAGCUCGUGCCGUGAGGUGUCGGCUUAAGUGCCAUAACGAGCGCAACCCCCGCGUGCAGUUGCUAACAGUCAACGCUGAGGACUCUGCACGGACUGCCGGCGCAAGCCGCGAGGAAGGCGGGGAUGACGUCAAAUCAGCACGGCCCUUACGUCCGGGGCGACACACGUGUUACAAUGGGUGGUACAGCGGGAAGCCAGGCGGCGACGCCGAGCGGAACCCGAAAUCCACUCUCAGUUCGGAUCGGAGUCUGCAACCCGACUCCGUGAAGCUGGAUUCGCUAGUAAUCGCGCAUCAGCCAUGGCGCGGUGAAUACGUUCCCGGGCCUUGUACACACCGCCCGUCAAGCCAUGGGAGCCGAGGGCGCUUGAAGU
rnacentral:rRNA from 1 species